AUUGAACGCUGGCGGCAUGCCUUACACAUGCAAGUCGAACGGUAACAGGUCUUCGGAUGCUGACGAGUGGCGAACGGGUGAGUAAUACAUCGGAACGUGCCUAGUAGUGGUGGAUAACUACUCGAAAGAGUGGCUAAUACCGCAUGAGAUCUACGGAUGAAAGCAGGGGAUAGCAAGACCUUGUGCUACUAGAGCGGCCGAUGGCGGAUUAGGUAGUUGGUGGGAUAAAAGCUUACCAAGCCGACGAUCUGUAGCUGGUCUGAGAGGACGAUCAGCCACACUGGGACUGAGACACGGCCCAGACUCCUACGGGAGGCAGCAGUGGGGAAUUUUGGACAAUGGGCGCAAGCCUGAUCCAGCAAUGCCGCGUGCAGGAUGAAGGCCUUCGGGUUGUAAACUGCUUUUGUACGGAACGAAAAGCCCUGGGUUAAUACCCUGGGGUCAUGACGGUACCGUAAGAAUAAGCACCGGCUAACUACGUGCCAGCAGCCGCCGUAA
rnacentral:rRNA from 1 species